UUGCGGCGGGGGCCACCCUGAGGGGGCCGCGGGCACCGCCCCCCGCCCCGCCAAGCGCUGCGGUGCCAAACACUGUCCCUGCAGGACACGGGCGGCCCCCGGGCACCCGAGGGCCCAGAGUGCAGUCGGGCUGUUCUGAGGGGACACACACACACACACAGGGUCACCUGAUGUGAAGGCAGAGCAGACUCGCCAAAGAGAUGCACCAAAGCUCUUUAAGUUGCUUUGAAACAGAAAUGGCAGCCAGGACUCUGCAGUUUUAAAGCAUCUGUUUUGUUCCCUAGAAAAAAUGCACACCAAAGUAGACCACUGGAUCAAUGGGAAAGAAUUCCAUCGUCUUGGAUGGGCUUUGCAUCAUGCCCUGCAGUUGCUUUACCUGUGUUUGGCUGGCAGACUGGCAUCCCUCAGAGAGCUCUCAGUGGCCAUUCAGUCAGGAUCAGAAUUCGUGAUGUCUGUCCUUGCUCUUUGUUAUCCUGAAUGACGCUGUAUCAGCAGCACUUUGGCACUGCAGCAUCUCCUGCUUUUUCAAACCAUUUCUGGAUGGAUUGCAAUGAACAAUCAGUAAAGGCACACUGUCAAUAAAAGCUCCUCCAGCUGUCCAGCUCCUUAGCAGGAGCUCUAGAACAAGGGAUAAGUCCACAGUGAGUAAGAAUGCCCCCAGCCAUGAGCCAGCCUGUCCACAUGAGCAUGGACACGCCUUGGGAAGUAGCUCAGUCCAACUGCAGAAGCUCCAUGUACCAGAUGCUGAAUUCCCCCAGGGAUGAGAAAAUAACUUUCCAAUUACAAUCAUCAGAAAGAGUUGUGUUAACUUCAACAUGAUUUAAUCCAGACACCACUAGCAAAGAGCACUAAAUUUUAAUUGUGAGUUAAAAACACUGCUAUAAAUUACUGGAUAACCCCCCCCAAACAACAGAACCAACAAAAAGGUACUUUUAGGUUUUUUUCACCUCCAUGUGGUUCCACUGCAGUAUUUCCUCCAGCCCAUUCUGAAUUUCUUUAGUCAAAUAACUGUGUCUCCUUUGCAGGAUAUCAGUAGUUGAUUUGAAAGUGAGAAUAUAUUUAGCUGUUCCCUGUAAUUUCCUGGAACAGGAGACUCCUUAAGCACACUGUGGCUCCCAGUUUUCUAACCUGCAGAUUUUGCCUCUGUACAGAGUCCGUGUAUGGAGACCUCUGCUGAGCUCCAAUUCCCUAAUAACCUACACCAGGGUGCUGGUCACACCUGCUGCUGUUCACCUUAACACAGCUUUUCUCUUUCAUUUUUACUCUAUUAAAAUAUUUGAGUCAUUCUUCAUGUUAAACAAUAUUAAAAUGCUUUUAUUUACUUCCUAAACCACAUAAAUGUUUUUAAUAAUUCUGAAUCUCAAAGUAUUGCAGCACUUAAAGAAUGGCUGUACUUCGGAUGAUAUUCCAAGCACUUUUGUCCCAGAUAAGCUCCUCUAAGCCUGCUCAGCUACACACACUAACCUGUUACAACACUAAGGCAAGAAAAGGAUGCUCUAAUACAACAUUGUCCAAAAAGGUGAACAAACCCCCCAUGAACCACCCUCUCCAUCUGCUAAAAUUCAUUUCCUUCCAGACUUCUCCUAUGGAGAACAUGAUUUAACCAUAAAGAUAAUUCAGUAAAUGAAAUAAAAGCGUGAAGUACAGUAAGCUGUUUAAAGCAGAAUGGAACUGCUCAUCCUUCCUGGCUGUCCAAGAUACAGCCAGUCCAGCAGAAUUUGAAGUCCUUUUCAAAUCUAUUGCAAGAAUUCCCCACUCUCAUGUCCCAAGAACAUGACAGUUCCACUGUCCCCUCCCUCACAGGCACCAGAACCUCCAGACCACAUCACUGCAGAGCAGGACACAGCAAAUGAGCAUCAGACAGCUUGUUUCCUUGAAUAAAUCACAUCUCUUCUAAUACUAACAACAGCUGAUUUGUAGAGAGCCACAGCAGGAGUAACUUCUCAGUUUUCUCACUUUCUCAACUCAAGCCAAACUAGCAAACUGCAAAAAAUAUGUGUCUGUAGAAGAGUUUAUUGUUAUUAUGGCUCACUCAGCAUUCCACGAAUUGUAGUUUCUGGUAUUUAGCUACAAAUUCCCAUCAGUUCAAUGAUCUAGAAAAUCUUGAUUGGAACAAUGGGCUAUCUAAGCAUUACUUUCAAAACAUUAAUUUCAGUGGCUAAUAUCAGGUUUGUGUCUGUCCAGGACUGUAAUUUCAAGUGUAACUAUUUUAAAAGUAUUUGUAAUGAGGUUUUUUAUCUAUCUUUAUUCUACCACUGGGUUUUUUUAUAUGGCCUACUAAUAAACAAAGAACAUCAAGAAAAUAAAGAUCUGUCAAGCUAUAAAUAAUAAAAAAAAAUAAAUCAAAAGAGGCCAACAGUACACAAGAAUUUAAGAAACUACUUGCAAAAGGCAUAAGAGCCCCAUAAUACUGUAUUUUCAAACAAACUGGGGCCAUCAGCAGUUUAACAGAAUCUAAAAGGUGAGAUCAUCCAAAUGUUACAAAAAUAAUCAAAACACCCUCAACUAACAACAACAACAAAAAAACAUUCAAAAAAGAGAAGGCUCAAGAUGAUCACAGACAAGAAGUUUGGGAAGAUUCCCAUGUCAGAAACCUUCACAGGGACAGCCAAGGAUUUUUUCUGAAGUUUAAAGCCCUGUGGUUAAGGGACAAUAGUAAAAGUGGUUAGAGGACAAGAGUAAAAAAAAGAAUCCAAACCCAAAUACCUGAGUCCCCCAAACAGCAGUUAUCUGCCAAGUUCAGAUCAUAUCCAAAGAAACUCAAGGAGGAAACAACUAGAGUAUUAAAUGUGAUGUGCACUGUCUUGAUUUAUCGUGCAUUAUUACUGGAGGGCCUCGAGAUUCCCAAGAGGAUACAGCUUCGUAAAAGUCCCUGGAAGAACUCAGUGCGGGGCAGGGCCGGGAUCAGUCCGUGAUCCCUGGUGCAUGUGGGGCAGGGCCGGGAUCAGUCCGUGAUCCCUGGUGCAUGUGGGGCAGGGCCGGGAUCAGUCCGUGAUCCCUGGUGCAUGUGGGGCAGGGCCGGGAUCAGUCCGUGAUCCCUGGUGGAUGUGGGGCAGGGCCGGGAUCAGUCCGUGAUCCCUGGUGCAUGUGGGGCAGGGCCGGGAUCACCCAGCAAAGCUGAGGCGCAAGGAGGGCCCAUCCUCAAGUGCCAGCCCAGUGUUCCUGGGGGUGUUUCUAGAUUUCCACCAACCCUUCAUUGAGGUCCCUUAGUGAAGGCUCUCAAAGCACCCCAUUUGAUUUGGGGCAAAUCAAAAUACCACACUGAGCAAGCGGUGAAGAGCCCUGGAAGAAAGGCUGGUGUGUCUCCGCUGGGAGCCCCUCGGCCUGUUUGCUCAGGGUAAGUAACAGGAUGGCACCAUUUGGUUAUGACACUGAGCAAUUCAGGAGUGAACACAAGCACCACCUGCAGAGAAAUGAAGGAGUUCUCACUGCUGAAUGGGCUGUACAAUGGCAGAUAAAAUUCACUGUAGAUGUGUGCAGUUAAUGCUCAGGGUUGGGCAUUACUAUGCAGGAAUGAGAAUCUGGCAUAAUGAUAGAAAGCACCAUGAAAAUGCCAAAUCACUGCUCUGCAACAGCAAAACAGCAAAAACAACUGCAAGGAAUUACUGGGAUAGAGCACGGGGCUGAAAUCAUUAUUGCCAGCAUUUUAACUCCCAGAGAACAGGAAAGAAAAGGAGAACUGAAGAUGACAACAUUUAUGACAAGCAGCCAAACAAAAGCACUGUCUGCAGCUCUGGGAAGCACAAAGCUGGGAGUUACUGGAACCCAAUUGGGCUCACACCUUGUGCCACUGUCAUUGCUGAGCUCAGCUUUUUGCAGAGCUGGAGCCUUAAAAACUACAUUGCAACUCCAAAUGAAGACAUAAGGUAGCAAUGAUAGCUUAGGUGAUCCACGUCAACAUCCACUGAAAGCAGGAGAAGGAACUCACAGGAAAUGGAUUUAAUCCAGAAAACAUUAAGACCCAGAGCUUGGCCCCCUCUGAGGUCAGUGACAUGUAUCCAACUUAGUGCUGCAGGGUGAUGCCACAUCAUGAUGUCAUGAACAACUGACAUCAACCCUUCCAUAGAAACUGAGGUUAACUGUAAUUCACCUUCAGACAGAGCAGGAAACCCCCAAACCACAGCACAUCUGUAACCAGCUCCAGCACCGUGGGGAACAGUGAGUCCAGUCACUCAUCACUGGCUGGUCGUAGGGAAUGCACAGAACACGAGACUUUUCGUUAUGUGAACAGCCUACCAAGAAUGACAGGCCAGUAAUUCCAGUACUUCAGAGCUUUUUUUUUCCCUUUCAUAUAUUCUGACACCGUGUGACGCCCUAGAUGAAGCAAAAAAGCCAAAGCAAUGCAAACUGAAAAGAAAGAAGAGUACAUUUACCUGGCAUACGUCCCAGAAUGGUGGGAGUUGCUCGUCAAGUCCGUCCUUUCCUCUACAGACACUUUUUUCAGUGAAGCAACAGCUUCUGGUGGUGAAUAAUGCAGGGGUUUGAUGCCAUUUCUGAUGGUCUGUGCAAAGGAUUUUUUUGGCUCAGCUAACUGACUGGGGGAGACUGCUCUGUCACUGUCUCCAGCAUGUUUCAAGUGCUCAGUGCCCGGCACAGCUCCGUGGAUGUCGCCGUUGACAUGGACACCAAAGGAUGGCUUCUCAUUAUGUGCCCACUUCUCUGCUUCCAGGCCAGUCAUUCUUUCCUUCUCCUUGCACUGCACAUUUUCAAUGGGCACUGCUUGAUUGCUUUUCACCCUGUAUUUUUCACCAUGACCACAUAUACUGCAUUCCAUGAGUUCUGGUCUGCGGCCAUUUACUGGUUUGUUUUCUAAAUUUGCCUAUAAAUAAUAACAGAAAAAGUUGUUGUAACAAAAACAUUAAAAAUAAGCAUAAGGCUUCCAGCAAUUAAACACUACUUUGACAGAUACUAGGAAUAUCCUAAUUAAGCACAGGCACAGACAUUGGAAAAUACCAAACAGGAAGCCAUAAAAAUCCCUGAAGGCUAAAGACCCUAUCCAUAUUUAUAGCUAUUUUUCCCCCACUGUUAAGGGGCAGAGGAAGAAAGUGUGUACAUGUGGUGGUGGGAGACUAAAGAAAUGAAUGGACAGAAAGAACAUUAGCAUUUCAAACCAGAUGUGUAGGACUCAAUUUUUAAUGAAUUUGCAUAAGCAGAUGAAAGUCUCCCUUGAGUUAAAAGCAGGACUGAACUCUAAAGGCUUGUACCACAAAGUUCAGCAGUAAUUUGGCAUAAUUAUAUUGAUUUGGCUAGACCAAUAAACUGCCUAAACCAGUAUACCACUUGGCUGGACACUGUAGCUAAGGCUGAAAAUCAGUCAUUCUUGCUUCAAGUUCUUAAAAAGAAUUACAAGCCUAAGCUGAAAUGAAGAGUAAGGCAAUUUACAGCAGCUCACCUGAAGGUUAGUUUGGAAACAGCGUGCUCAGCUUCCGUAUUUAGAUGGACACUUCCAGUUUCUCAACAGUCUCAUGUAAGCUAUCCCAAACUGUAUUUUAGUAAGUGUUAAUAUUUCAUUAAACACCUUCUUCCUCUUUACUGAUACCAUACAAGUCACAUGGUUGAAGCAAUGUCAAAAUCUAGCUAGAGUCAGAAUAUUGUGUCCCGGAAGGAAUAUGUCUGUGGGCCUCAAGGAAGUAGUAUGGGUAUGAAGUAAGGAGUUAUGCAAAGUAAAAAAAAAAAAAAAAAAAAAAAUUAAGGCAGAAACUUAGGCAGAAACAGCAAUAAAGGCAGGAAUGCAAUUUUUGUUAUGCUAAUCAAAUUUUCUUUAUUUAUAUUAUAUUUCCUUUUAAAAAAUAAUUUAAAUUCACAACAGACAGUGCUGGUACUUAAUCUGAUUGUAACAUCUAAGAGUUCUUUAAAUCAUCUGCAGCCUUAACCCUUACUUACAAGAAAACCAGGCCUGCUUUUCAAAUCAGACCUCAGCAAUACCAGUGGCUAAUUAACCCCAUGUUGGCACAGCACAUCACAGCAGUGCCCAGAAAACACCACCCAGUUUAAUGGAAACCAUUCAGGCAAAUCCGACGUGGUUCUGCAGUCCUGCCAACUAAAGGAUAUGGACUCCUCGUAGAAAAUAACUCAGAAAAACAAAUGCACACUAGAUUUAUGAUUAAUUAUGACCAUCAAGACAGAAUUGCCAGAAACCCCCAGGCACAUGGAGCCAGCUCCAUCUGGAGCCCAGUGUUCACCUCACAACUGAUACAGCACAGACCCAGAACCCAGAGCACGGCCUAGGUAUUGUGAGAGGCAUCAAAUUCUCACGGAAAUGUUAUGUACAAACAUGGCCAGCACCUAUGUAGCCAAGUCAAACUUACAGGAAUCACAUAAAAGAUGCCUUAUUUCACACUUUUUCAUUACACACAGAUCCUGACUAACAGUCUGUAAGCCUGAGCUCCUCUGCAUCCUGCUGGGUUUCAGUCAAUGAUUCCCAGGGCCAAGGAUUACUGAGCAAUUACUACGGGAUCCCCAAAGCUAAACAGAUUAAACAGUUCUAUUGCUAGCAGGGGCAAAUGCAUCACAUAGAUCUCUGCAGCUGUACCAGAAAAUAUUUUAAGGGUCCACCACAGGAAAGUAAAACCCCACAAUUCUAUAUCCAAUCAAAAGAUGAAUUUCAAUUACCUUAAUUUAAUUUCAUAAAGAACUAGGAUACGAAAUUGCUGUUCUUUCUUCAGCAAAAGUGUAUCUAAUAUCUCUAUCAAUCCAAAAGUUGUCCCAACAAUGUAAAAUUGUUAUUCAGAAUUAUUUAAUCAGACAAUUAGGAGGCUGAGGAGUUAGAAUCAAAUAGAUUAAAACUAAUUCCCCACCAUCUGCACGUUGUCAACAUGACAACAUGUUAGAAAGACUGUUCACUACAUUAAAAAAAGCUAAUAAUCUAAGGCUGGUAAUUUGGGAGCAGGUGUGGGGAAGGAGGAGGGUCCAUCCACAAUUAGCAGAGGUGAGAAGAUCUGACACAGAAUCCACUGGCAGCACUCAGUCCAAAAAAAAGUCACACCCUGCUCUCAACGAGGUUAUUCCUCAAUAAAAUCCUUCAUCUGACCAAAAAAGCACUACUGUGCUCAAAAAUACUCUGGAUACCCCCUAAUCUGCUAGUGCUGCACAGGUACAGUACUGUGUUCCCAAGACCCCAGGGAUCCCAGCAGCAAAGUGAGAUUACUUUUUAAAUUAUUCCUCUUACAUAUAUUCCACUAACACUACUGCAAGCUGCCCACACGCAAUGAGGCAGAAAAAAGAACCAGAUGAAUCAUAUCCUUGGCAUGAUUUAGUUCAUAUUUUGUUUUUCCACAUGAAGAAUUAAUAUUGCCAUAAAAUCAGAUAUUAUUGUUUUAAUUAAACUCUGCCUUUUGAGCACUAUGUUGCUUUAUCUCUUGUAACUGAACUGCAAAGGAGCCUAAAAGAUACCUUUCUUCUCUCUGACAAGCAGAAGAAGCCACUGGAUAGUCUGUUGUCUGUGAAGUUAUUAUCUCCCAAAAGAGCGAUGCAGACACUAGCAGGGACAGAGCUCGUUUGAUGCCUCCCCUCAGCUGAGGAGCAAUCCAUCCCUGAGUCCUGAAUCAGGACUCAAAACAAAUGUGAAAACUACAGGCAAGGAUAACACUGUGCCUGGGAUUGUGGAAGUUAAGCACAUGAGUCUGAUCCCAUCGAUUUCUAGGGCUUUUACACGAGCGUAAUGAAAAGCUGAAUAAACCAGAUCAAUAGGAGUCAUUUCCCUCUCUCUCAUUAAGGAGAGCACUACUCUGCCAGGACACAGAAACCACCAACAAAUCAUGCUCAAGCUUAGGCUCUGCUGCAGUUUGUGCUAUUAGGGCAGGAACCACAGAGUCUGCUGUGGCCACUGCUGUAGUACUUAAACUUCAUCCAGAUAUUAUCUCUUAUGUACACACACACAAAAAUUCACUCUGGGAACUAAUGCUUCCAGCAGACACAAACAGCCAGUUACAGCAAAUCAUUUCACAUUCUGAAAAGGGUCUACUAUUAACUUCUCUUUUAACACAACAUGCUUCUGACAUAAUGCAAAGAGUUCACCAGUUCACAAUCAGAAUCCAAAGCUGAAAGCUACCCUAAAGACAUUUCCACAUCUUGUGAACAACAGCAAGCAGGCCAUCAGUUUGUGUCUCUCGUUUCAAACCUCUAGAGGUGGUGACACACACUGUACAAUCAAGGACAGCACCAGAGUCAAACACUCCCAGAGAGGAGAAAUAACAGAUGAUGCCCAGACAAACUACUGAUAAAACAGCUCUAUAAGCAAGUCAUGAUGAGUAACAUGAUAACCAAUGCCAAGUCCCCUAAAACAGCCCUCCCCGUAGGAUUCUGCCCAGGGCCCCAUGAGAAUACAGUGCCCAACACUCCAAGAAUGCUUGUGCCAACACCCCCCCAGCUUGUGCCAAUAACCAGGAUGACCCAAAAGGCAGCUCUUCCAAGGUGCCAACACUCAGGAGCCUAAAAGGACAAGUAGGACUGUGUGCAGUGGGUAAGCCUGGAUCCUUUGCAGAGGUUGCAGCCAUGCAGCCAUUCCCAUAGGCCCUUCCAUGCUGGGAUAGAGCUAGCAGCUUCUCAGAGCUCAAAUGCCACAACAGAAGUUUUCUUUCAGAAAUACCAUUUGGAAGAAACCCUCAAUGUACUUUAUCUAACAUUGAAAGAGGAUGUGUCAUUCAUGGUCUGCCUGUCAGAUGUCACUGCCUCACCAGAGAUAGGACAGCACCAGCCAGCUGACCAGCACAAUUUAUUCCCACUUCCACUGUCUGCUCCCCAGGACAGGCAGAAAUUCAGGGGAAUCCAGGACUUGUACUGGAUAGGAUCAAUAUACAGGGGGAAGAAGAUAAGACAUGGACAGGACAGGCAACAGGGAGACAGAGCACAGGUGUGGACAAACAGUGACUUGUGCUGAGUGCCGUGUUGGAAGCCAAGCACUGGUUAGAACAGAGACAAAUGUGAGGUGGGAUGCUGUGCAAACUACAGGUCACCUUCUGGGUACAGCCAAAGGGGUUUUUUGCAUUAAAAUAAAGGCAGAUACAAGAAUACCUUUAAGGACAAAUGUCUACUUCAGCCCACAAGUUCGACUACUGUAACGCAGACAACGUGCUGUAGGUUGCUGCUCAAGGCUGCAGCCUGAGCAGGGCUCCAGGGUGAACUGGUGAACUCCCAGCAGGCUCCUCAAAGAAAGAACAGCCAAGUAGGGGCCAAGCUGCAAGCUGGGGGCUAUUCCCAUAAAGCUCACCAGAGGCAGAAAGCAGUUCCCAGCACGCUUGUGUAACAACUGUGGACACGACAGUCUCAGUGCCCCACAGUCCUGCAGCAGCUCAGACCAGGCACAUGUUCUCUAGGCCUUAGUGCAGAGAACCAGACUGGGGAGCAGCGUUAAUGGAACACAGCCUGCAUUUACAUGAUGUUCUGCUUCUCAAGAGAGCAACGUUCACAGAUGGCAGAGGAACAGGACGGGACUUGGCAAAACUAUGUUGACAAGUUUUAAGAGAGAGGCUGGUUUGUACAGAAAUUCAGGGGAACAAGAAGCUCUGCAAAUCUGGAGAAAGUCAUCUAACCUGGGGCAUCCAGGUUUUCCUGGAGGGAUCCCCCUCACUCCUGACUUCCCUGGCCCUGAGGAUCAAAUCCACCCAAAGUCACCAACUUGAGCAUCACAGCAGGUUGCAUUUCACACUGAUCUUACUGCAGCUGCAAAGUCUGCUCUGGUUACUUUUUUUCCCCCUAACUGUAGACACAACAGCAAAGAACAUCCUCCAAGUUACAGCUUAGCAAAAUAAACUACAGGAGACUAAUUCUGACUCUAAAGGCUUAACAUGGUGACUCCCAUAGAAAUGUAUUUAUUGAAUUACUACUUGGAAAUAGGCUCUCAGCCACAAACUCAAAUUGUUUCCAUCAACUCUGAGCUCUACGUUGUAGAAAGCUGCAAACAGAAGCAAGAAAAAAUAGAGAGUGAAGGACACGCCAUUCUCCCACACAGGCAUCCAAGAAGUGGAUGUGUUAAGAAAGAAAAAACCAUAAACAUUACAAUACUUCUUCUGCCACAGAAGCAAACACAAACAAGCGUUUUGCUUGGUGGUUUUUGUUUUCUUUGGGGUUUGGGUUUGGUUUGGUUUGUUUUUUACUGGUGUUUUGAAUUACUCAAUCAUUUGUCUUCAACACUGAAACUGAGCACUCAAAAGAGACCCUGGCAGCUCUGGAAAAUAUACUGCUCAAUUAAGCCACAAAAGAAAAACGAUACAAUCAGCAGCAAUAUGUAAUCCCUAAUAGAACUUUUCCUUAUGUGCUUUAACUCAAAAGCAGAGAUGAAAGAAAUUCAGUCUUUGACUUCACCCACACUCACUAAUGCCUCUUGUGGUCUGUGAAACCCUCAGCACAGUGUCAAGGAAGGGCUGCCUGGCCCUGCACUGUGAGUGGAGAAUCAGCACAGCCUUCACAGAAGGGGUUUCAGGGAGCAGAUCACGGCGGUGUGCAACAUUCUUCACAAGGUUCUCAAAGAACACUGAAAUUCAGACUUAUAAAAGAGAGCAAAUAAUGCAAAGAGCAGACAUGAUGCUUCCUAAAUGAAGCUGGCAGGUCAGCCAUUUCCUCCCAGCUGAAGGAGAAGUUGUGUAUCCAGGAACAGACGUGGGACUGCACUUCCAAAAGGUUCCUACCUCAGAAAGCAGUGCCCUCACAGAGGACAUUAACAUGGUCAGUGAUCAACUGCACAGUAACUAUAGAAACUCCUGUUGCCACUUUAUGGCCAGAAGGGUUAGUGACAUUCUUGGGUGCAUAAAAACCCCAUAUAAUUAGGGAAAGACUGGUUACUUUCUCUCCUGUACUUGGCACUUUUGCACCUGCCAGUGGAACAAAGCGUCCUGUUCUGGCAUCCCCGAUUCAGGCAGGACAUUGGUAUGCUGGAGAGGGCUUCGAGGACCACAGCAAUGACAAAGGACUGAAACAUCUUGAAGUGAAAGACUCAAGUUCACUCUCUCACUCACUCUCUGCAGUUUGCCAAAGAAAAAGAAAAUUGAAAAGCCACAAACUCCUGCCCCGUCUAUGUGGAAAAGAAUGCUGAUAACAGAGGGCUCCUUGUUCCAGCAGACAAAAGUACAACAAGACUCGGUGACUCCAAGCUAAGGCCAGAGAAGUCUGGCCUUGAACGAUGGUGCACAUUUUUGCAGAGGGACAGAGAAAGAGCAAAGAAUUUAAGCAUCUUGUUAGGUGUUUUGAUGCACUUUUCAUCCAUGGAAGUUUUCAAAUUUGAGUUCUUUGAGAUAUUUUUAAAACGUGAUCCUGAAGCCAAAUAAAUGGAUACAGUCUUGCAACCUCUCAGCACACAAACAAGUGUUUGCCACAUCUUGCCUGGGUGAGACCCAAAUGUGAUCCAAACUGAUACAAGUAAAUUUUCCUGCAGUUUCAGUACAGAGAAGAUCCCAACUGCUAACAACCCAACUCCCACAGUGCCUGUAACCUAAGCAGGAAGAUACUCAGCUCUUUAACUUAGGACCCCACAAUCUGCUGUACAGCCAAUUAUAAUGUUUACAAGUUGCUACAUGCCCAUAGAAGCUCUCAGACCAGAACUGCUAAGGACGCACACCACCAUUCUAGCCUGGUUUUAAAGCUGCUGAGGGGCCACAAGACUAAAAGGUGUAACUCUUUAGCAAUAGAAAAGUUGGUGACAGGUAGUUCAGAGAAGCAGCUCAAGGUAAUUCAGAUUUUGAAAAGAGAAAAACAGCCAUGCUGGUUACUUAACCCACCAAACUACAAGGCUACAGCACUAUCCCGGAUUUUGCAUCUAUGUUUUGCUUACUCUCAUGAGGAAAAAAAGCCUAAAAACUUCCUAGUGAUGUUUCUUCUUCUAGCUAGCACAUACCUAUGGUUUAAAUAAAGCUCAAAAUGGAAUUCA